UCCUCGGUGGUGUAAUGCUAGAGCACUCGUCCCCGCAUAGGAUGAAGUGCGGGUUCGAGUUCCGCCUGAGGCA